rnacentral:rRNA from 1 species
AGAGCGAACGCUGGCGGCAGGCCUAACACAUGCAAGUCGAGCGCCCGUAGCAAUACGGGAGCGGCAGACGGGAUAGUAACACGUGGGAACGCGCCCUUCGGUUCGGAAUAACUCAGGGAAACUUGAGCUAAUACCGGAUACGCCCUUACGGGGAAAGAUUUAUUGCCGAAGGAACGGCCCGCGUCCGAUUAGCUAGUUGGUGAGGUAAUGGCUCACCAAGGCGACGAUCGGUAGCUGGUCUGAGAGGAUGACCAGCAUCACUGGGACUGAGACACGGCCCAGACUCCUACGGGAGGCAGCAGUGGGGAAUUUGCGCAAUGGGGAAACCCUGACGCAGCAACGCCGCGUGGAGGAUGAAGUCCCUUGGGACGUAAACUCCUUUCGAUCGGGACGAUAAUGACGGUACCGAGAGAAGAAGCCCCGGCUAACUUCGUGCCAGCAGCCGC